AUACUUUUGUAGUUCAUAGUGUGAUGAUUGUGUGUUCACACUUGUAUGAGAUGUCCCUCCCUCAAACCUUGUUGUGCCACCCACACGUUACUCAUCUGAUA